CCGUAGCACAUACCCUGCCCAGUGUCCAUCACCCAGCCACCCCGUCCCUCCCACCCCCCUCCCCUCCAGCAACCCUCCGUUUGCUUCCUGAGAUUAAGAGUCUCUUAUGGUUUGUCUCCCUCUCUGAUUUCGUCUUGUUUCAUCUUUCCCUCCCUUCCCCUAUGAUCCUCUGUCUUGUUUCUCAAAUUCUACAUAUCAGUGAGAUCAUAUGAUAAUUGUCUUUCUCUGAUUGACUUAUUUUGCUUAGCGUAAUACCUUCUGGUUCCAUCCAUGUCAUUGCAAAUGGCAAGAUUUCAUUUUUUGAUGGCUGUAUAUACCACAGCUUCUUUAUCCAUUCAUCUGUUGAUGGACAUCUGGGCUCUUUCCAUAGUUUGGCUACGGUGGACGUUGCUGCUAUAAACAUCGGGGAGCAGGUGCAUCAGGGAUGGUUCUUGUAGCUAUCCAAGGGGUUGCGACUGAAUGAUGAGGACAUAGCCAUGGAAAGUCCUUGACUUUUAAAACAGAAGGAAGAAUGUAUGCAAAGGCCUCGAAAUACACGCACAUUGCUCCAGGUACCGAACCAUACCCUGCUUAUCUCUGUUCCUGCCACAGCACAUUGCUUAUCAGGAGCUGCACACCUUGGGAGAUGGGAGAGAUGCGGAUGAGAGGGUUAAUGUGUCCAUACACCUCGAGAAUCACAGCCGUUCAGGGGCCGCGGUGCGUGAGCGAGCUCGUGCGCGCGCGCGCUUCCUCCUGCAGAUGAGAGAUGCCACAGCCCGGGGUCCGGACUCUCAGUGUCCCCGCAGGGGUGCACAGCAUUCACAAUAUCUGGGCCCAGAGGCCGGAAAGGAGAGGAGGGCAGCCCGGCGGGUCCACGUAGUGUGGGCAGGACGGAGAGUUGCAGCGGUGGGGGCAGAGGUCUGACCUCCUCCGUGGGGCCGGGCAGCCCUGCUUCGUGAAAGCCAGCAACAUCUUCUUAGUUCUUUUCUCCUGUACUUACUUAUUCAUCCUCCCAGAACUUUCCUGUACAGUAAGAGAACAGCGAGGCAGAGUACAAGAAAGUAGAGCUCAGUUCAUCUGAUGAUCUGCCCACACUCGCUGACUCACUCAUAAUGGCCCCUCAGAUGUCAGUUUCUUGCUAAGACAUUUGGAAAAAUUUCUGCUUCUGAAUCACAAGCAAACACUAUAAUUCAACAAUCUUCUCUGAGUUAUUCAAGGAACUUCAAUGCACUCAGAAGUGGAAGGAUCAGGGGCGGAUGAAAUCAAUGAAAUCUCUGAGUACUCUGUUUUUCUCCUAAUUACAUUUCAUUUGCCCGGCAGAGGUGGGGGGAGCUCCAUCUGACCACUGAGGGGCAUCUCCUGGGGGAAGUCUGGAAGCAGCCGAUUUGGGGUUUCUGGGUGACACUUGGUUUUUCUUAUCAUCUUCGUUCUGUUCCCAUAAUAAAGCCAAGUGUCAUGCAGGAAAAGGC
rnacentral:lncRNA from 1 species